GACGAACGCUGGCGGCGUGCCUAAUACAUGCAAGUCGAGCGGACGAAUCGAAAGCUUGCUUUUGAUUCGUUAGCGGCGGACGGGUGAGUAACACGUGGGCAACCUGCCCUGUAGACGGGGAUAACACCGAGAAAUCGGUGCUAAUACCGGAUAACACGAAAUGUCGCAUGACGUUUCGUUGAAAGACGGCGCAAGCUGUCGCUACAGGAUGGGCCCGCGGCGCAUUAGCUAGUUGGUGAGGUAACGGCCCACCAAGGCGACGAUGCGUAGCCGACCUGAGAGGGUGAUCGGCCACACUGGGACUGAGACACGGCCCAGACUCCUACGGGAGGCAGCAGUAAGGAAUCUUCCGCAAUGGACUAAAGUCUGACGGAGCAACGCCGCGUGAGCGAAGAAGGCCUUCGGGUCGUAAAGCUCUGUUGUUAGGGAAGAACAAGUAACGCAGUAACUGGCGUUACCGUGACGGUACCUAACGAGAAAGCCACGGCUAACUACGUG
rnacentral:rRNA from 1 species